AGGUAGCGAAAUUCCUUGUCAGGUAAGUUCUGACCCGCACGAAUGGCGUAAUGAUUUGGGCACUGUCUCAACAGCCCGCCCGGCGAAAUUGUAGUACUGGUGAAGAUGCCAGUUACCCGCAACUAGACGGAAAGACCCCAUGGAGCUUUACUGCAGCUUAAUACUGAAAUUCGGUAGUACAUGUACAGGAUAGGUGGGAGACUGAGAAAUACAGGCGUCAGCUUGUAUGGAGUCGCUGUUGGGAUACCACUCUUGUACUGCUGGGUUUCUAACCUGCGGCCGUGAAUCCGGUCGGGGGACACUGUUAGGCGGGCAGUUUGACUGGGGCGGUCGCCUCCCAAAAGGUAACGGAGGCGCUCAAAGGUUCGUUCAGCACGGACGGAAAUCGUGCAAUGAGUGUAAACGCAUAAACGAGCCUAACUGCGACACCGACGGGUGGAGCAGUAACGAAAGUUGGAGUUAGUGAUCCGGUGGUAUGUGAGUGGAAAUGCCAUCGCUCAACGGAUAAAAGCUACCCUGGGGAUAACAGGCUGAUCUCCCCCAAGCGUCCACAGCGACGGGGAGGUUUGGCACCUCGAUGUCGGCUCGUCGCAUCCUGGGGCUGAAUUCGGUCCCAAGGGUUUGGCUGUUCGCCAAUUAAAGCGGCACGCGAGCUGGGUUCAGAACGUCGUGAGACAGUUCGGUCCCUAUCUGUUGCGGGCGUAAGAGAUUUGAAGGGAGCUGUCCUUAGUACGAGAGGACCGGGAUGGACGUACCUCUGGUGCACCAGUUGUCCUGCCAAGGGCAUAGCUGGGUAGCUAUGUACGGACGAGAUAAACGCUGAAAGCAUCUAAGCGUGAAACUCCCCCUAAGAUGAGAUCUCUCAUCCUUUAAGGAGUAAGGACCCAGAAAGACGAUCUGGUUGAUAGGCCGAAGGUGGAAGCGCAGUAAUGUGUGCAGCUGAUCGGUACUAAUAGUCCGAGGGCUUGACCUA
rnacentral:rRNA from 1 species